GUUCUGCCCCAGGCUGUGACGAGUUUGGCUGCUUCCCGUUGGACGGACAGUUGGAGGUCUAUUGGUGUCAGCAGCCAGUCGGUUACCUGCACUCUCCUGAAUGUCCCACGUACCGACUGAACCCCUUCGAGAUGAGCGGCGAGUUACAGCUGGUGAUGUUUGGGAAAACGGACGACCAGUUGAGUGUUACGGAGCAGGCGCGCCUCUACGUGGAGCCGUGAUCGCUUCCAGCCAUCGGCAUCUUCAGCACCGGCAGCCGGUUCUUCAGUCAGCUGACCGCGAGACGGCGCUGUGACUCCUUAAAUUUAUUAAGUAUUAAACUAUUGUUAGCUGUUCUGCUAAGUCACCCUGUGAAUCAUGAGUCAGCAUUUUAACUCCUUCACAGAGUCUCCAUCGCCUCCA